rnacentral:rRNA from 1 species
GUCGAGCGCUUAUUUUCUGGUAGCAUAUCGGGAAGUAGGAGCGGCGCAAGGGUGCGUAACACGUGGAUCAUCUGCCUGGAAGUUCGGAAUAAUCCCGAGAAAUCGGGACUAAUGCCGGAUGUGGUUGAAAGACUAAAGUUGGGGACCGCAAGGCCUGACGCUUCCAGAUGAGUCCGCGGCCUAUCAGCUAGUUGGCGGGGUAAUGGCCCACCAAGGCUAAGACGGGUAGCUGGUCUGAGAGGACGACCGGCCACACUGGAACUGAGACACGGUCCAGACACCUACGGGUGGCAGCAGUCGAGAAUUUUUCUCAAUGGGCGAAAGCCUGAAGGAGCGACGCCGCGUGGGGGAUGAAGGGCUUCGGUCCGUAAACCCCUGUCAUUUGCGAACAAACCUUACGAUUGAACAUUUCGUAAGCUGAUCGUAGCGAAAGAGGAAGGGACGGCUAACUCUGUGCCAGCAGCCGCGGUAAUACAGAGGUCCCAAGCGUUGUUCGGAUUCACUGGGCGUAAAGGGUGCGCAGGUGGCAUGGUAAGUUUGGUGUGAAAGCUUCGGGCUUAACCCGGAAAUGGCAUUGAAAACUACUGUGCUGGAGGAUCGGAGGGGGGACUGGAAUUCUUGGUGUAGCAGUGAAAUGCGUAGAUAUCAAGAGGAACACCAGUGGCGAAGGCGAGUCCCUGGACGAUACCUGACACUGAGGCACGAAAGCCAAGGGAGCAAACAGGAUUAGAUACCCUGGUAGUCUUGGCUGUAAACGGUGCGUAU